rnacentral:rRNA from 1 species
CCUACGGGCGGCAGCAGUGAGGAAUAUUGGUCAAUGGGCGCUAGCCUGAACCAGCCAAGUAGCGUGAAGGAUGACUGCCCUAUGGGUUGUAAACUUCUUUUAUAUGGGAAUAAAGUGCAGUAUGUAUACUGCUUUGCAUGUACCUUAUGAAUAAGGAUCGGCUAACUCCGUUGCAGCAGCCGCGGUAAUUCGGAGGAUCCGAGGGUUUUCCGGAUUUAUUGGGUUUAAAGGGAGGGUAGGCGGGUUUGUAAGGUAGUUGUGAAAGUUUGCGGCUCAACCAUAGAAUUGCAGUUGAAACUGGCAGCCUUGAGUACAGGAGAGGUAGGCGGAAUUCGUGGUGUAGCGGAGAAAUGCUUAGAUAUCACGAAGAACUCCGAUUGCGAAGGCAGCCUGCUGGACUGUAACUGACGCUGAUGCACGAAAGUGUGGGUAUCAAACAGGAUUAGAUACCCCAGUAGUC